rnacentral:rRNA from 1 species
CAGCGUCACGAGUGGCAAUCGUACUUAUUUGGCCUAAAGCGUUCGUAGCCGGCUUGAAAAAUCUUUUGUGAAAUCGUUGUGCUCAACACAACGGCGUGCAAAAGACACUGUCAAGCUAGGGACCGGGAGGAGUUAGGAGUAUUCAUGGGGGAGCGGUAAAAUGCUAUAAUCCUAUGAAGACUACCUGUGGCGAAGGCGCCUAACCAGAACGGAUCCGACGGUGAGGAACGAAAGCUAGGGGAUCAAACCGGAUUAGAUACCCGAGUAGUCC